rnacentral:rRNA from 1 species
GAUGAACGCUGGCGGCGUGCUUAACACAUGCAAGUCGAACGAAGCACUUUUACAGAUUUCUUCGGAAUGAAGUUUUAGUGACUGAGUGGCGGACGGGUGAGUAACGCGUGGGUAACCUGCCUCACACAGGGGGAUAACAGUCGGAAACGGAUGCUAAUACCGCAUAAGCGCACAGUACCGCAUGGUACAGUGUGAAAAACUCCGGUGGUGUGAGAUGGACCCGCGUCUGAUUAGCUAGUUGGCAGGGCAACGGCCUACCAAGGCGACGAUCAGUAGCCGACCUGAGAGGGUGACCGGCCACAUUGGGACUGAGACACGGCCCAAACUCCUACGGGAGGCAGCAGUGGGGAAUAUUGCACAAUGGGGGAAACCCUGAUGCAGCGACGCCGCGUGAGCGAAGAAGUAUUUCGGUAUGUAAAGCUCUAUCAGCAGGGAAGAAGAAAUGACUGUACCUGACUAAGAAGCACCGGCUAAAUACGUGCCAGCCGCCGCAGUAA